UAAUACGGAGGGUGCAAGCAUUAAUCAGAUUUACUGGGUGUAAAGGGUGCGUAGGCCGUUAGGCAAGUCAGGCGUGAAAUUCCGGUACUCAAUACCGGCGCGGCGCUUGAAACUACCUUUCUGGAGGAUAGGCGGAGAAAACGGAAUUCCACAUGUAGCGGUGAAAUGCGUAGAUAUGUGGAAGAACACCUGUGGCGAAAGCGGUUUUCUAGCUUAUUUCUGACGCUGAGGCACGAGAGCGUGGGGAGCAAACAGG
rnacentral:rRNA from 1 species